GUCUAAGUGGCAAUAUUUUCGGACGCGGGUUCGAAUCCCGCCGCCUCCACCA
rnacentral:tmRNA from 1 species